rnacentral:lncRNA from 1 species
CUGGUCAGCCUUGCUGGGCCCAUUUCCUGGAUACAGUAUUAAAAAACAGGCAAAAGUCAAAGGAAGUUCUGAACCUAAUUCAGAUGGGAUAAUGGAAUCAUAGCUGCUGGAGGCUCUCCCUCCCGAUUCCCUGCCCUGCACUGGCUGAAUUUGGACCCCAGAGCUGCCUUUCGAAGUCUUCAUUCCCAACAAGCGUUCACGAAUUUCGUUGUCCUACCUGAAGGUUCAGGGAUCAUUGGCAGAAGACUGGGGGAUCAUGGAGAGG